rnacentral:lncRNA from 1 species
UGAAAUUGAUCAAUAAUUGAGAAAAAGCUGCAAAUCUACAAAAAAACUCAUGACUUUAUUUUGACAUUCACUGUUCAUCGCGUUUUUUCCGCCAACUCGGACGAGUCACUUUUGCAAACCGGGCAAUUCGUGUCUUUUAUGGCAAAACAAUGCGUCCUUAGCGAUUCCCGUGUGGACCUGCGUGAUUCCGGGUCCACUCACCCUUUUUUUAACCACUGCUAUCUCGAACCUCUCCCUUACAAGUUAUCCCAUCUGGCCUCCCUCUCCAAUUAUCUCUCUAGAUUUCUAUCACCUCUCUCUCUCUCUCUCUAGAUUUUCCUUUCUUCUGUUUGCUGCAAUUUGAAUCGUGUCCUCCCUCACUAGGAUUGAUAGUUGGGGGUGGAAGAACUCUAUAUGUGGGCCUCAAUGCUACAGGGGCAAAGGUGAAGCCACAUCUAGCUUGGAGUCAGGCCAGGGGGCUUGAAAGGUGGUGGGGUGUCACUUUGGAGGGUGUCUCAUGGGGGAGGGGGGCUGAUAUGUGGACCUCAGAGAUAUUGUGGCGCAGUGUGAGAGGACCAACAUUGGGGAGCCCCCUUUGAAUUUUGCUGAGAUCAAAAUUUGAUGGUUUGGUCUUGAGAGGAAGCCCCUUUGAAUUUCUAGCAGGUGAUUCUUAGCAGUCAGUCUUGGUGUCUCAUCUUUGGAUUGAAGUGAGAUCACAGUUCUUUCAUUGUCCAGCUUUACACAGAAGAUGGAAUAGGGAGUUUGCCAUUGAAUUCUAAUCCAUUUGGCGAUACUUCAGGUCAUGGCAGGGGGAUUUAAAGUCCCGACUGUAGAUCUCAUCAGAGCAAGCCUCUCCUCUAUGAUGUGCUCCAUGACUGCGAGUCAAAUGUUUGCCUCUUGAAAGGUCUGAAGACGGCAGGAGGUUAAAAUAGAAUAGACUAAAGAAAAAGAGGACAAAGGGAGGUGGGGUAGGGGUGUAGGGGUUUGGGGGCAGUUGGUAUGGAUCUGAGAAUGUCAAGCCAUGGGUUUGGGGGCUUAGAUGGGAAAAUGGUGAUGGCCUGGGAUAUUUUGUAAAGGGAGAGGGUGGAGAGAGAGAGAUGAUAGAAAUCUAGAGAGAGAGGAAGAUGGAAAAGAGGAAGAUGGAACAGAGAGAGGUGAGAGAAACUAAUGCUCAGCCAAAAACGAUUCGAUUUUUCUUUGGCUCCAAAUUUGUUUUUGGGUGUAGCUAGCAUACGGAUGCAUCCGUAGCUGUAGAGGUAGGGUGCAACUUCAAAUUUUAUCAUGGU